AGGAAAGGCAGCAGCCCCAAGCUGUGCCCGACUGGGCAGAGGGAUCCUCCUCCCGUCGCCGCUGGGUAGAGCUGCGCCCCGCGGGCAUCUUUCUCACCUACUGGAAUAAGAGAGUAGGUGAAACUGGUUCCUGGCACUGUAUUGUCUCCAAGGAGUGCACAGACAGAAGAUGUGCUGUUGACUGUCUCUUCCCAGCCCAUAGGAGGGAUCAGAGAUAUUUCUGACCUGCCUGAAGCAGAGAAGGACAUGCCCAUGUGAAGCCCGUUCCCAGUGCAAGGAGGCUGGAGAGAGGCUAAAGAAAUAGGCUACUGAUUGGAGUAAAAACCUGGACAGAAAGGACUGCUCGAUGUGCUAAUCGCCUAAGAUACAACUUCCUUUGAACUCAUCAGGAAGAGAAGAAGCAGGAGAUGAGUCACUGCCCAGCAGCACGGGUGGUGAAUGGAUGGUCUGAACCUGUGCCAGGAUGGAGCAAACAAUAGGAGGAUCCCACGGGGCUGCAGGUAGGCUGCUGAGCCAAACUGGUGCAAACUGCCUGUGUUUAUGCUGCUUGGUGUAGCUCUGCUCUGUGCAUAGAAAACAUAAAGGUUUGUUUUGUACA